CAUUUUUCUUUCACCAACCCCCCGCCGUUUGGUUUUCAAUUUUAUUUUUACUUUCUUCUUUUUUAUAUAUGUAUAUAUUUUUUCAUCAUCUACACGCAUACCGUCAUUUUUUACUUUCAACGAAAGAUAUUUCCAUGUUUUCUCAUCCCAUUUAUUUUCACUAAACGGUGAACACGGUUUUCGUUGUUGAAAUAACUUGUACAAUGACGAACGAAUCGAGCGUUGAUUUGGCACGUUUGAUCUGUUUGCAAAAAGUUGCAUACAUUUUUAACGCCCAGAGGCUCUGUAAGACACGACUGACUUGGCACGGAUUGAUUGAUUGAUUGAUUGAUUGAUUGAUUGAUUGAUUCGUUUUUUCCCCCGUUCUUUUAUUUUAUUUAUUUAUUUUUUUUUCUUCAAUACUUUCUUGUUAUAAUUUUGGAAGAACUUAGGGUUUUUGGUUUCUUUUUUUUUUCUUUUUUUUUUACGGUAUUGCGUGUGUCGCCUUCCUUCUCAUUUUAUUCUUGUUACUCGUCGACGAAUUAUUGCUGAUAUGGAAUCAUUUAUUAAAUGUCCUGGUGGAACGUGAAUCCGCGCAAGGAAAAAGAAUUUAACGACGUAACUUCAUUUCCGGUCCGGAACAGACCGAACGAUGAAGUACAUAUUCACCUUAUCGUAUCUCUUAUUGCACAAUCGCGCAACUGUUCAAAUAUAAAACAAAUAAAAUAAAUAAAUAAAGAAAUUACGACGCUCUAUAUUAAAUCGGUAUUUAAAAGCGGGAGAACUUUUAAGUGGGAAAAAGAAAAAACUUCCGCACGACGUAAUCGGGUUCUGAUCGUAAAAAACUUGCCUUAACUUACUGGUAUAAUUCAAAGUCAGUGGGGCCGGAUCUACGAGUGAAAAAAAGUAGGAGAAGAAGCGGAAUAAAAAAAAAAAAUUCAACAAAACGGCGAAAAAUAUUAUUAUUUCU
rnacentral:lncRNA from 1 species